rnacentral:rRNA from 1 species
CCAGACUCCUACGGGAGGCAGCAGUGGGGAAUAUUGGGCAAUGGGCGCAAGCCUGACCCAGCAACGCCGCGUGAAGGAAGAAGGCUUUCGGGUUGUAAACUUCUUUUAAGAGGGAAGAGCAGAAGACGGUACCUCUUGAAUAAGCCACGGCUAACUACGUGCCAGCAGCCGCGGUAAUACGUAGGUGGCAAGCGUUGUCCGGAUUUACUGGGUGUAAAGGGCGUGCAGCCGGGAAGACAAGUCAGAUGUGAAAUCCCGCGGCUCAACCGCGGAACUGCAUUUGAAACUGUUUCCCUUGAGUGUCGGAGAGGUAAUCGGAAUUCCUUGUGUAGCGGUGAAAUGCGUAGAUAUAAGGAAGAACACCAGUGGCGAAGGCGGAUUACUGGACGAUAACUGACGGUGAGGCGCGAAAGCGUGGGGAGCAAACAGGAUUAGAUACCCUCGUAA